GAUGAACGCUAGCGAUAGGCUUAACACAUGCAAGUCGAGGGGCAGCAUGGUCUUAGCUUGCUAAGACUGAUGGCGACCGGCGCACGGGUGCGUAACGCGUAUGCAACUUGCCUCACAGAGGGGGAUAACCCGUCGAAAGACGGACUAAUACCGCGUACACUCCAUCUUGGGCAUCCAAGGUAGAGGAACUGAAAUUCGCUGUGAGAUAGGCAUGCGUCCCAUUAGCUAGUUGGUGAGGUAACGGCUCACCAAGGCGACGAUGGGUAGGGGAACUGAGAGGUUGAACCCCCACACUGGUACUGAGACACGGACCAGACUCCUACGGGAGGCAGCAGUGAGGAAUAUUGGUCAAUGGGCGAGAGCCUGAACCAGCCAAGUCGCGUGAAGGAUGACUGUCUUAUGGAUUGUAAACUUCUUUUAUACGGGAAUAACAAGGGUCACGUGUGACUCCCUGCAUGUACCGUAUGAAUAAGCAUCGGCUAACUCCGUG
rnacentral:rRNA from 1 species